GCUGGCGGCGUGCUUAACACAUGCAAGUCGAGUGCGCGUUUCGUAGCAAUACGAGAUGGCGCACGGCGCACGGGUGCGUAACACGUGGGUAACCUGCCCUUUGAUGGGGAAUAACCCCGGGAAACCGGGGCUAAUUCCGCAUAAGAUCCGCAAGGAUGAAAGCCGAGAGGCGUCGAAGGAGGGGCCCGCGCACGAUUAGCUAGUUGGUGAGGUAAUGGCUCACCAAGGCUAUGAUCGUUAGCUGGUCUGAGAGGAUGGCCAGCCACACUGGAACUGAGACACGGUCCAGACUCCUACGGGAGGCAGCAGUGGGGAAUCUUGCACAAUGGGCGAAAGCCUGAUGCAGCGACGCCGCGUGGGGGAUGAAGCUUCUCGGAGUGUAAACCCCUUUCGACCGGGACGAAUGCCCGCAAGGGACUGACGGUACCGGUAUAAGAAGCCCCGGCUAACUACGUGCCA
rnacentral:rRNA from 1 species